rfam:Dipodomys ordii contig_66995, whole genome shotgun sequence.
GGGAAUGUGACUCAGUGGUAGAGUGCUUGCCUUACAGGCAUGAAGCCCUGGUUUGAUUCUUCAGUACCA